rnacentral:rRNA from 1 species
CCUACGGGUGGCAGCAGUGGGGAAUAUUGCACAAUGGGGGAAACCCUGAUGCAGCGACGCCGCGUGAGUGAAGAAGUAAUUCGUUACGUAAAGCUCUAUCAGCAGGGAAGAAAAUGACGGUACCUGAGUAAUAAGCCCCGGCUAACUACGUGCCAGCAGCCGCGGUAAUACGUAGGGGGCAAGCGUUAUCCGGAUUUACUGGGUGUAAAGGGAGCGCAGGCGGCACGGCAAGCCUGAUGUGAAAGCCCGCGGCCCAACCGCGGGACUGCAUUGGAAACUACCGGGCUGGAGUGCCGGAGAGGUAGGCGGAAUUCCUAGUGUAGCGGUGAAAUGCGUAGAUAUUAGGAGGAACACCAGUGGCGAAGGCGGCCUACUGGACGGUGACUGACGCUGAGGCUCGAAAGCGUGGGGAGCAAACAGGAUUAGAUACCCCUGUAGUC